AUGGGAACGCGAAGAACCUUACCUACUCUUGACAUCCAGAGAACUUAGCAGAGAUGCUUUGGUGCCUUCGGGAACUCUGAGACAGGUGCUGCAUGGCUGUCGUCAGCUCGUGUCGUGAAAUGUUGGGUUAAGUCCCGCAACGAGCGCAACCCUUAUCCUUUGUUGCCAGCGGUCCGGCCGGGAACUCAAAGGAGACUGCCAGUGAUAAACUGGAGGAAGGUGGGGAUGACGUCAAGUUAUCAUGGCCCUUACGAGUAGGGCUACACACGUGCUACAAUGGCGCAUACAAAGAGAAGCGACCUCGCGAGAGCAAGCGGACCUCAUAAAGUGCGUCGUAGUCCGGAUUGGAGUCUGCAACUCGACUCCAUGAAGUCGGAAUCGCUAGUAAUCGUAGAUCAGAAUGCUACGGUGAAUACGUUCCCGGGUCUUGUACACACCG
rnacentral:rRNA from 1 species